rnacentral:rRNA from 1 species
ACUAAAGUUGUUGCGGUUAAAAAGCUCGUAGUUGGAUCUUGGAAUGUGUUCAAGCGGGUCAGCUUCUGGCUGUUCGCUGCUUGACGUGUUCUUCUAUUUGGUUUUGGUGCGGUGCGCUUAACUGCGUGUCGCUCCCGGCCGAAACGUUUACCUUGAAAAAAUUAGAGUGUUCAAAGCAGACCUGUUUGAGUCUGAAUAUUCGUGCAUGGAAUAAUGAAAUAUGAAUUCGGUUCUAUUUUGUUGGUUUUCGGAUCUCGAGUUAAUGAUCAAGAGGGACAGACGGGGGCAUUCGUACUCUGCCGUUAGAGGUGAAAUUCUUGGAUCGGCGGAAGACGCGCAACUGCGAAAGCAUUUGCCAAGAAUGUUUUCUUUAAUCAAGAACGAUAGUCGGAGGUUCGAAGACGAUCAGAUACCGUCCUAGUUUCGACUGUAAACUAUGCCAGCUAACGAUCAGACAGAGUUCUCUACGACUUGUCUGGCAGUUUCCGGGAAACCAAAGCGUUUGGGUUCCGGGGGAAGUAUGGUUGCAAAGCUGAAACUUAAAGGAAUUGACGGAAGGGCACCACCAGGAGUGGAGCCUGCGGCUUAAUUUGACUCAACACGGGGAAACUCACCCGGCCCGGACACAGUGAGGAUUGACAGAUUGAGAGUUCUUUCUUGAUUCUGUGGGUGGUGGUGCAUGGCCGUUCUUAGUUGGUGGAGCGAUUUGUCUGGUUAAUUCCGAUAACGAACGAGACUCUGGCAUGUUAAAUAGUCGCGGAAGUGCGUAUGCACUUGCCGAAUUGACUUCUUAGAGGGACUAGUGAUUUUAAUUCACACGAGAUUGAGCAAUAACAGGUCUGUGAUGCCCUUAGAUGUUCGGGGCCGCACGCGCGCUACAAUGAGUCGAUCAACGUGCGUAUAUUUCCAAGGCCGAAAGGUCGAGGUAAUCCGUUGAACCCGACUCGUGCUAGGGAUAGGGACUUGUAAUUGUUUCCCUUGAACGAGGAAUUCCCAGUAAGCGCAAGUCAUCAGCUUGCGUUGAUUACGUCCCUGCCCUUUGUACACACCGCCCGUCGCUACUACCGAUUGAAUGGUUCAGUGAGAUAAUCGGAUAGGUAACUCGGUGAGCAGCAAUGUUUACCAAGCAUACAUAGAAGACGACCAAACUCAGUCCAUU